AUUGAACGCUGGCGGCAGGCUUAACACAUGCAAGUCGAGCGGAGCGAGGGUGCUUGCACCUUAGCUUAGCGGCGGACGGGUGAGUAAUGCUUAGGAAUCUGCCUAUUAGUGGGGGACAACAUUCCGAAAGGAAUGCUAAUACCGCAUACGCCCUACGGGGGAAAGCAGGGGAUCUUCGGACCUUGCGCUAAUAGAUGAGCCUAAGUCGGAUUAGCUAGGUGGUGGGGUAAAGGCCUACCAAGGCGACGAUCUGUAGCGGGUCUGAGAGGAUGCUCCGCCACACUGGGACUGAGACACGGCCCAGACUCCUACGGGAGGCAGCAGUGGGGAAUAUUGGACAAUGGGCGGAAGCCUGAUCCAGCCAUGCCGCGUGUGUGAAGAAGGCCUUUUGGUUGUAAAGCACUUUAAGCGAGGAGGAGGCUACUUAGAUUAAUACUCUGGGAUAGUGGACGUUACUCGCAGAAUAAGCACCGGCUAACUCUGUGCCAGCCGCCGCAGUAA
rnacentral:rRNA from 1 species